UGGGGAAUAUUGCACAAUGGGCGAAAGCCUGAUGCAGCAACGCCGCGUGAGCGAUGAAGGCCUUUGGGUCGUAAAGCUCUGUCCUAGGGGACGAAAAAAAUGACGGUACCCUUGGAGGAAGCCCCGGCUAACUACGUGCCAGCAGCCGCGGUAAUACGUAGGGGGCGAGCGUUAUCCGGAAUUAUUGGGCGUAAAGAGUGCGUAGGUGGUUCUUUAAGCGUGAGGUGAAAGGCAAUGGCUUAACUAUUGUAAGCCUUGCGAACUGGAGAACUUGAGUGCAGGAGAGGUAAGUGGAAUUCCUAGUGUAGCGGUGAAAUGCGUAGAUAUUAGGAGGAACACCAGUGGCGAAGGCGACUUACUGGACUGUAACUGACACUGAGGCACGAAAGCGUGGGGAGCAAACA
rnacentral:rRNA from 1 species